rnacentral:lncRNA from 1 species
AUUAGUAUUAGUAGUUAAUUACUUGUUAUGUCAUGGUAUAAAUACUAGAUGAAUAUUCUUGUGAACUUGGAGAAUUUCAUUUUAUGAAUAGAUCUCUUUGCUUGUUUGAUUGUUGAUCUCAAUAACCAAGAAUUGAAGCAUUCAAUAUGGUAUCACUUGUAGCUCCUCUUGACGAUCCAAUCUCUUCAACACAGUAAUAACAUGAAUCUUCCUCUUCUUCAUCUCCAACUCGCGGCGAUCUGGGCGAUUUCUUCUUCAGAGAAUUUUUCAGCACGAUCUGUGUGUGAUUUAAGAAGAUCAUCUUUCCACGAUUUCGAUUUGGGAUAAAAGAUUUGAGAAGACGAUCCAUGUCCGUUAGUCUGGAAAUCGUUGUGUGAUUUCUUCUUCUCCUUGAGCUAAUUUUUGUCAAAAAAUUGCAGAAUUAUUUCAGCGAUUUCAGGUACGUGAUUUCUGUUACUUUCUCGAUCUGGUCGAUUUAAGUAUGGCUAUUGUUUCCUGAUCUGGCGAUUGGAUUUUUUUCUUCUGUCAUCUGGUUGCGUUAUCUGUCCAGCAAGAAAUUGGAUUUCAAUUUUGCGUCAUCUUUAUAAAUAUUUGCGAUUCGAUUUUGCGAGUUUCUAUCUGGGAUUUUACGUCAUCAUUUUGUGAUUUCUUGGCUGUCCAAUUUAUAAUUUCUUCACUAUUGGAUGUCCGGCGUGCUUCCACGACUCUCAUCAAUGGCUGGCAUCCGGAUCUUUGUAUUUUUGGUGAAUGGAAUGCGAUUGGGAAUCCCGCGAGCAUCCUCACGAUGAUCGCUUUUUUUUCUUACAGUAAUUACUUAAAUUUUUACUGUUUGAUAAUUAGUUAUAUUUCUCUUCGUAUUUUCGUUCACUAUUGUACUAAUAAUUAAAUCAGUUCUUGCGAUUUUGCUUUGCGUUCUUUUUUGCGAUGUGCUGAUAAUCAAAUCAGUUUUUUUUGCGUUUUUUUUCAUUACUUGAUAUGAUACAAGUAACUAAAAAUCUCAGUAGUGUUGCAAGUUGAUUUAGUUUUGUUUUUUUUCUAUUGAUUAAUUAGUACAAUUU